rnacentral:misc_RNA from 1 species
AACUUUCGGCAAUGGAUCACUUGGCUCUUGCAUCGAUGAAGAACGCAGCGAAAUGCGUUAAGUAAUGUGAAUUGCAGAAUUCAGUGAAUCAUCGAAUCUUUGAACGCACCUUGCGCUCCUUGGUAUUCCGAGGAGCAUGCCUGUUUGAGUGUCAUUAAAUUCUCAACCUUUCCAUUAAUUUGGUUUGGCUUGGAUGUGGGGGUUGCAGGCUUCAUUUGACUAUGAGGUCAGCUCUCCUUAAAUGCAUUAGUGGAACUUUUGUGGACCGUCUAUUGGUGUGAUAAUUAUCUACGCCGUGGAUGAGAAACAGCUUUAUCAAGUUCAGCUUCUAACCGUCCAUUGACUUGGACAAUUUUGACAAUUUGACCUCAAAUCAGGUAGGACUACCCGCUGAACUUAAGCAUAUCAAUAAGCGGAGGCU